UACGAAGGGGGGCUAGCGUUGCUCGGAAUCACUGGGCGUAAAGGGUGCGUAGGCGGGUUUUUAAGUCAGGGGUGAAAUCCUGGAGCUCAACUCCAGAACUGCCUUUGAUACUGAAGAUCUUGAGUCCGGGAGAGGUGAGUGGAACUGCGAGUGUAGAGGUGAAAUUCGUAGAUAUUCGCAAGAACACCAGUGGCGAAGGCGGCUCACUGGCCCGGUACUGACGCUGAGGCACGAAAGCGUGGGGAGCAAACAGG
rnacentral:rRNA from 1 species